GAUGAACGCUGGCGGCGUGCUUAACACAUGCAAGUCGAACGAAGCACUUUAUUUGAUUUCCUUCGGGACUGAUUAUUUUGUGACUGAGUGGCGGACGGGUGAGUAACGCGUGGGUAACCUGCCUUGUACAGGGGGAUAACAGUUGGAAACGGCUGCUAAUACCGCAUAAGCGCACGGCAUCGCAUGAUGCAGUGUGGAAAACUCCGGUGGUAUAAGAUGGACCCGCGUUGGAUUAGCUAGUUGGUGAGGUAACGGCCUACCAAGGCGACGAGCCAUAGCCGGCCUGAGAGGGUGACCGGCAACAUUGGGACUAAGGCACGGCCCAAACUCCUACGGGAGGCAGCAGUGGGGAAUAAUGCACAAUGGGCGAAAACCUGAUGCAGCGACGCCGCGUGAGCGAAGAAGUAUUUCGGUAUGUAAAGCUCUAUCAGCAGGGAAGAUAAUGACGGUACCAGACUAAGAAGCACCGGCUAAAUACGU
rnacentral:rRNA from 1 species